UACGCGUGGGAACAUACCCAUUUCCUGCGGAAUAGCUCUGGGAAACUGGAAUUAAUACCGCAUACGCCCUACGGGGGAAAGAUUUAUCGGGGAAGGAUUGGCCCGCGUUGGAUUAGCUAGUUGGUGGGGUAAAGGCCUACCAAGGCGACGAUCCAUAGCUGGUCUGAGAGGAUGAUCAGCCACAUUGGGACUGAGACACGGCCCAAACUCCUACGGGAGGCAGCAGUGGGGAAUAUUGGACAAUGGGCGCAAGCCUGAUCCAGCCAUGCCGCGUGAGUGAUGAAGGCCUUAGGGUUGUAAAGCUCUUUCACCGGAGAAGAUAAUGACGGUAUCCGGAGAAGAAGCCCCGGCUAACUUCGUGCCAGCAGCCGCGGUAAUACGAAGGGGGCUAGCGUUGUUCGGAAUUACUGGGCGUAAAGCGCACGUAGGCGGAUAUUUAAGUCAGGGGUGAAAUCCCAGAGCUCAACUCUGGAACUGCCUUUGAUACUGGGUAUCUUGAGUAUGGAAGAGGUAAGUGGAAUUCCGAGUGUAGAGGUGAAAUUCGUAGAUAUUCGGAGGAACACCAGUGGCGAAGGCGGCUUACUGGUCCAUUACUGACGCUGAGGUGCGAAAGCGUGGGGAGCAAACAGGAUUAGAUACCCUG
rnacentral:rRNA from 1 species